UUGGGGACCCCCGGCGGGAGGAACAGCAGGUGGUCACACACUCCCGCCGCAUCCCUACCGUUUGGUAGGUGUAGGGUGGGAGCGGGAAUUGCAUACCUACAAAUGUCCAGGUGAUGCCGAAGCUACUGACCCAGAGCGCACACUCUGAAAGCCACUUUUCUAGGGUGCUCCUACCAUGAAGAAGCAGUUACAGGCGGGAAACCUCUUCAGAAGUCGGAUGUACACAGAUCUCUGCAGACAAUGGAGAGCCAAGGAGACCUUGGAGCUGGCAAAGGCAUUUCCUGUCUGUGGAGGAUCUUGACUUUGGAGCAUCCGGCAGGCGGUCGCCCAUGAGGUUUUCGAGGCGAACGAACACUUUCCUGUGUAGCGGUUUAAAAAAGACCAAGAUGAUGAAAGAAAAAAAGAAAAGUCAUUGCCAACUUCAGGCGAUUUUCCAUAUGAAAGCCAGCGGAGCUGCUUCCCAUUUAAUUUUUGUCAUUGUUGUUGAAUGCAUAUUUUCUAACCAUUAAUUAGAAUACUUUUUAAUUUGAAAGGGAGGUUGAUAUUAUUGAAAAAUCUUAAAUAUUAAAAAAUCUCCAGUUGGGCAUGGUGGUGCCCACUGUAAUGUCAACUACUCA